AUAAUGCCUUCAACCAUACUCAGGAUUAGGAAACAGGGAAGAAAGCAUUUCUUAAAUUUAGGGGACAGGAACAACAUGGCAUUUAUAACUGAGAUGAGUCUCCUCCUCCUCCUAACCAUGGCCAUCAUGGAUUCAUGUUAUAAUCUUCCAAAACAGAGCUAAUAUUAAGCAAAGAUGCACCAGUAUGGUUGUCCCAUCCACUAACAAGCAUCCAAUCUGAUUGUUCAGAUUAUACUUAGGAUCAAUUCUGAAUGGUUUGACCUGUGCUAUAUCAUUUGUUAUAUAUAUUACCCUAAAAUAACAUCCAACAAGAUAAAAUAGAGUUUAUUCCUCAAAAACACCAUCGGGCACCUCUCAAGUUUUCAUACAGAUCCCUAUGAUGACAAAACAGGUGGGAAAGCAUUCUCCUCCCUUGUAUACUUAACACAAUGUCAUUCAGCACAUAUUCUGUGGAUAUAUUCUUGAAAUAUAUCCUAUAUUUGAAGGGCACCAUAUUUUAUGACUCUGCUCUGGCACUUUCAGGGUUCAAGAAUAUCAGCAGGGCUAUGGCAGUGGCAGCUAUGUCUAAGAGGAAGCACUUGGCUGUAAUCCCUGGAGGCAGAGCCAAGACCCCUUCACUCAACUAUGUAAGCAUCAAAGGUAUCCACAACAGAUGGAAAUACCACAGGGGGCUAAAACAGAAAAACAAGAAGAUGGAGAAUAUCACCUGGUGACUGAUGGCACUUCAUGAGUACAUGUGAAAUAUCCACUGGUACCUCUCAAACAAAUUGGAAAGACUGCAAAGAGAUGGAGAUACUGCAGUGGAUGGGGUGAGGAAGAUACUGCGGUGGGUGGAGAAAUAUAGUUAGCAAAAAUCUUGAAAGAGACAGUUGGGGCAAAUAAAGAAAGGCUGGAUUACCACCAGUAAUAACUGAAAAAUUGGAAAAGAUAGUCAUAACCAUUUUAUUCUCUAUAGUAACACCACACAGUCCUGGUUUCUGCAGUAUAUCAUCAUUUCCAAAAUUCAGAUGGAGUGAUUCCUUCUACUUUAUUCUUCUUUAAAAAAAAAAAGUUUAAGAUAGUCUAGCUCCUCUGCUUUUCUACAUAAAUUUUAGAGUAAUUUUGUCUAAAUCUACAAAAAAUUCUUGCUAAUAUAUUUACAUAUGUAUGCUAAUUUGGGGAGAAUUGACAAGUUUCCUAUUCUUUAUCAUAUUGAGUCUUUCAAUCUGUGGAUGUGAUAUGCCUCUCCAUCUAAGAUCUUUGAUUUCUUUCAUCAGUAUUCUGUAGUUUUUCUGUACAUAUGGCCUGCAUAAAUUAUUAAAUUUAUACCUAUUUCACUUCUGAAUGGUUACAAAUGCUAUUGUUUACUUAAUCUUGAUUUCUACAUUUUUAUUCUCAGUGAAUAGAAACAUAAUUAAUUUUUUUA